GAUGAACGCUGGCGGCGUGCUUAACACAUGCAAGUCGAACGGGAAAUAUUUCAUUGAGACUUCGGUGGAUUUGAUCUAUUUCUAGUGGCGGACGGGUGAGUAACGCGUGGGUAACCUGCCUUAUACAGGGGGAUAACAGUCAGAAAUGGCUGCUAAUACCGCAUAAGCGCACAGAGCUGCAUGGCUCAGUGUGAAAAACUCCGGUGGUAUAAGAUGGACCCGCGUUGGAUUAGCUUGUUGGCAGGGUAACGGCCUACCAAGGCGACGAUCCAUAGCCGGCCUGAGAGGGUGAACGGCCACAUUGGGACUGAGACACGGCCCAGACUCCUACGGGAGGCAGCAGUGGGGAAUAUUGCACAAUGGGGGAAACCCUGAUGCAGCGACGCCGCGUGAAGGAAGAAGUAUCUCGGUAUGUAAACUUCUAUCAGCAGGGAAGAUAGUGACGGUAC
rnacentral:rRNA from 1 species